UGCGAAAACAACGACAAAGAAGUAUAAUAAUAUUAUUAUUGUCGCGAUUUAAUCUCGAAAAUACGUUUAAAUAAUUAGGUAUACCUGCGGUCGGAAUAUCUAUACGCAAACAACAGUCGACAACGGUAAAAAUAUGGCAUAGAACGGUCACUCGGGAUCCAAUAAUAAACUUUAAGGGGAGUGGACGGGUAUUUUAUUUCUAGUUUUUUGUAACGAAGUGAUAUGAAUAAUUCUGAAAACAGAUUUGAUUUCAUAGUGAAAUUAGCACAUUGGACGGGCCGCUUUUUUAAAAUUUCAAUCGUUAAUUAUUUUCAAAGAUUUGAACGUUUAUUGAAAAAAAAAAAAAAACUAUAAUUCAAUUGAAAAAAAAAAAAAUGUGACCUGAAUGUCUGAUCAUAAUAUAAUACACUUUACGCUGAAUUCAAAUCUGUUUUCAGAAUUUUUAAUCGCUUCAUUCACUAUAAGAGUGGUCCGGUUGCAAGAAAAUCGAUCUGAAUUGUUGUACGAAAAAUAAAUUAUCCACGUAUCCAAUUCCCUUAAGUAACAGAAAGUAAAUCUUAACUUUUACUUUAAAAGAUUUGUUUAUAAUCCGAAUUUAAAAUGCGUUCGAUUAAUUUACGACUAUAAAAACGUUUAUUUAUUAACAUUUCUAGUUUUUUUGAAAUACGUUUUGUAAUCGUAUAGAAUUUUAGGUCAGUAGAGUUCGUAUUUUGCAGAAAUAUCCGUAGAUAUAUCGGUAAUCGGAAUCGGUCGAUUUUUUUACAUUACUUACGUGAUAAUAUAUGGCUGGUUAUUGUCAGGCACGUGCACAGAACGAAUACGUCGGAAGCGUUAGGUGUUCGGGGGAGGUUCACACGUAAAAAAAACACUUUUGGCCAUACAAUAUACUAGUAUAUGAUGUGGUUUUUCUUUCAAAUUUUGAAAGAGUUAAACCCCAAACCCCGUCUCUAUACAUGCAUGUCUGAUUACAAACUGUCUAUCCAUUUUUAUAUUGGGACGUAUCCGAUUAUACACAAUAUUAUAUCGUCAUAAACACAAACUCCAUUGUGAAAACGUGCACAUUUAAAAAUUAAUAAACGUAUUAACAAUAGCGCAGCGAUAACGAAAACUCUGACAGAUGGACGAAAAUUGCCUAAACUCACGUCACACAAAAAGUUUUUUGUUUACAUGUAAAUGUCAUGAAAAAUAAUACAACUGUAUGAAUAAUAUCUCGAAGUACUCAAGUAAUUAAUUAUAAAGUACCUACGUAUGAGGACCGUUUUUAGAUUUUCGGGGGGGGGNGGGGGGGGGGGGGGGGGAAAGGAAGUGUUCAAUGUACUCACCAAAACCUACAACAUUGGCCGAUAUUUCGGAAUUUCCGCGGCCACUGCUCUCGAGAAACCGAUUAUCGCGACGGCGCGUUA